CGCUGGCGGCGUGCUUAACACAUGCAAGUCGAACGGUGACGGAGAGCUUGCUCGUCCUGAUCAGUGGCGAACGGGUGAGUAACACGUGGGCAACCUGCCCCAGACUUCGGGAUAACGCUUCGAAGAGGUGCUAAUACCGGAUACGAACUCCUUGGGCAUCCUUGGGAGUUGGAAAGUUUUUCGGUCUGGGAUGGGCCCGCGGCCUAUCAGCUUGUUGGUGAGGUAACGGCUCACCAAGGCGACGACGGGUAGCCGGCCUGAGAGGGCGACCGGCCACACUGGGACUGAGACACGGCCCAGACUCCUACGGGAGGCAGCAGUGGGGAAUAUUGCGCAAUGGGCGAAAGCCUGACGCAGCAACGCCGCGUGAGGGAUGACGGCCUUCGGGUUGUAAACCUCUUUCAGCAGGGAAGAAGCGAAAGUGACGGUACCUGCAGAAGAAGCACCGGCUAACUACGUG
rnacentral:rRNA from 1 species